rnacentral:rRNA from 1 species
GACAGAGGAUGCAAGCGUUAUCCGGAAUUAUUGGGCGUAAAGAGCUCGUAGGCGGUUUGUCGCGUCUGCUGUGAAAACUGGAGGCUCAACCUCCAGCCUGCAGUGGGUACGGGCAGACUAGAGUGCGGUAGGGGAGAUUGGAAUCCUGGUGUAGCGGUGGAAUGCGCAGAUAUCAGGAGGAACACCGAUGGCGAAGGCAGAUCUCUGGGCCGUAACUGACGCUGAGGAGCGAAAGCCAGGGGAGCAAAGCGGG